rnacentral:rRNA from 1 species
GGGCCCGCACAAGCAGUGGAGUAUGUGGUUUAAUUCGACGCAACGCGAAGAACCUUACCAGGGCUUGACAUAUACAGGAAUAUACUAGAGAUAGUAUAGCUCUUCGGAGUCUGUAUACAGGUGGUGCAUGGUUGUCGUCAGCUCGUGUCGUGAGAUGUUGGGUUAAGUCCCGCAACGAGCGCAACCCCUGUCCUUAGUUGCCAGCACGUAAUGGUGGGAACUCUAGGGAGACUGCCGGUGAUAAAUCGGAGGAAGGUGGGGACGACGUCAAAUCAUCAUGCCCUUUAUGUCCUGGGCUACACACGUACUACAAUGGCUGUUAACAAAGAGAAGCAAGACCGCGAGGUGGAGCAAAACUCAAAAAUGCAGUCUCAGUUCGGAUUGAAGGCUGAAAUUCGCCUUCAUGAAGCCGGAAUUGCUAGUAAUGGCAGGUCAACAUACUG